rnacentral:rRNA from 1 species
GAUGAACGCUGGCGGCGUGCCUAAUACAUGCAAGUCGAGCGGACAGACGAGGAGCUUGCUCCUUUGACGUUAGCGGCGGACGGGUGAGUAACACGUGGGUAACCUACCUAUAAGACUGGGAUAACUUCGGGAAACCGGAGCUAAUACCGGAUAAUAUUUCGAACCGCAUGGUUCGAUAGUGAAAGAUGGCUUUGCUAUCACUUAUAGAUGGACCUGCGCCGUAUUAGCUAGUUGGUAAGGUAACGGCUUACCAAGGCAACGAUACGUAGCCGACCUGAGAGGGUGAUCGGCCACACUGGAACUGAGACACGGUCCAGACUCCUACGGGAGGCAGCAGUAGGGAAUCUUCCGCAAUGGGCGAAAGCCUGACGGAGCAACGCCGCGUGAGUGAUGAAGGUCUUCGGAUCGUAAAACUCUGUUAUUAGGGAAGAACAAACGUGUAAGUAACUGUGCACGUCUUGACGGUACCUAAUCAGAAAGCCACGGCUAACUACGUG